rnacentral:rRNA from 1 species
GUUGUCCGGAUUUACUGGGCGUAAAGCGCUCGUCGGUGGUUUGUCGCGUUGUUCGUGAAAACUCACAGCUUAACUGUGGGCGUGCGGGCGAUACGGGCAGACUAGAGUACUGCAGGGGAGACUGGAAUUCCUGGUGUAGCGGUGGAAUGCGCAGAUAUCAGGAAGAACACCGGGGGCGAAGGCGGGUCUCUGGGCAGUAACUGACGCUGAGGAGCGAAAGCGUGGGGAGCAAACAGG